GUGCUCACUUUGGCAGCACACAUACUAAAAUUGGAAUGAUACAGAGAAGAUUAGCAUGGCCCUGGUGCAAGGAUGACAUGCAAAUUUGUGAAGCAUUCCAUAUUUUU
rnacentral:snRNA from 1 species